GCUAUCUACAGGCUUAACACAUGCAAGUCGAGGGGCAGCAUGGUCUUAGCUUGCUAAGGCCGAUGGCGACCGGCGCACGGGUGAGUAACGCGUAUCCAACCUGCCUUACACUCUUGGACAGCCUUCUGAAAGGGAGAUUAAUACAAGAUGUUAUCAUGAGUAAGCAUUUUCGCAUGAUUAAAGGUUUACCGGUGUAAGAUGGGGAUGCGUUCCAUUAGAUAGUAGGCGGGGUAACGGCCCACCUAGUCUUCGAUGGAUAGGGGUUCUGAGAGGAAGGUCCCCCACAUUGGAACUGAGACACGGUCCAAACUCCUACGGGAGGCAGCAGUGAGGAAUAUUGGUCAAUGGACGAGAGUCUGAACCAGCCAAGUAGCGUGAAGGAUGAAGGUUCUAUGGAUUGUAAACUUCUUUUAUACGGGAAUAAACGGAUCCACGUGUGGAUUUUUGCAUGUACCGUAUGAAUAAGGAUCGGCUAACUCCGUGCCAGCAGCCGCGGUAAUACGGAGGAUCCGAGCGUUAUCCGGAUUUAUUGGGUUUAAAGGGAGCGUAGAUGGGUUGUUAAGUCAGUUGUGAAAGUUUGCGGCUCAACCGUAAAAUUGCAAUUGAUACUGGCAGUCUUGAGUACAGUUGAGGUAGGCGGAAUUCGUGGUGUAGCGGUGAAAUGCUUAGAUAUCACGAAGAACUCCGAUUGCGAAGGCAGCUUACUAACCUGUAACUGACAUUGAUGCUCGAAAGUGUGGGUAUCAAACAGGAUUAGAUACCCUGGUAGUCCACACGGUAAACGAUGAAUACUCGCUGUAGGCGAUAUACAGUCUGCGGCCAAGCGAAAGCAUUAAGUAUUCCACCUGGGGAGUACGCCGGCAACGGUGAAACUCAAAGGAAUUGACGGGGGCCCGCACAAGCGGAGGAACAUGUGGUUUAAUUCGAUGAUACGCGAGGAACCUUACCCGGGCUUAAAUUGCAACCGAAUAUGGCGGAAACGCUAUAGCUAGCAAUAGCGGUUGUGAAGGUGCUGCAUGGUUGUCGUCAGCUCGUGCCGUGAGGUGUCGGCUUAAGUGCCAUAACGAGCGCAACCCUUGCCGAUAGUUACUAACAGGUUAUGCUGAGGACUCUGUCGGGACUGCCAUCGUAAGAUGUGAGGAAGGUGGGGAUGACGUCAAAUCAGCACGGCCCUUACGUCCGGGGCUACACACGUGUUACAAUGGGGGGUACAGAGGGCUGCUACCACGCAAGUGGAUGCCAAUCCCAAAAACCUCUCUCAGUUCGGAUUGAAGUCUGCAACCCGACUUCAUGAAGCUGGAUUCGCUAGUAAUCGCGCAUCAGCCACGGCGCGGUGAAUACGUUCCCGGGCCUUGUACACACCGCCCGUCAAGCCAUGGGAGCCGGGGGUACCUGAAGUGCGUAACCGCAAGGAGCGCCCUAGGGUAAAACUGGUGACUGGGGCUAAG
rnacentral:rRNA from 1 species